UUUAACUGAGCGUUCAGUUACUUGACGUAGACCCGAAACCGGGCGACCUACCCAUGAGCAGGAUGAAGCGAAAGUAAAAUUUCGUGGAGGUCCGAACCCACGAGCGUUGAAAAGCUCGGGGAUGACUUGUGGGUAGCGGUGAAAUUCCAAUCGAGCCCGGAGAUAGCUGGUUCUCCCCGAAAUAGCUUUAGGGCUAGCCUCAAGGUGAGAGAUACGGAGGUAGAGCACUGAAUGUCCUAGGGGGUAUUGCACCUACCGAAGACUAUCAAACUCCGAAUGCCGUCAUCUUAUACUUGGGAGUCAGACUGUGGGUGAUAAGAUUCAUAGUCGAAAGGGCAACAGCCCAGAUCGUCAGCUAAGGUCCCUAAAUGUAAGUUAAGUGGUAAAGGAUGUGGGAUUGCACAGACAACCAGGAUGUUGGCUUAGAAGCAGCCACUCAUUCAAAGAGUGCGUAAUAGCUCACUGGUCGAGUGAUCCUGCGCCGAAGAUUUCCGGGGCUAAAACUUACUACCGAAGCUACGGCAUCAGUAAUGAUGGGUAGGGGAGCUUCCCAUACGGGUUGAAGCAUGACCGUAAGGACAUGUGGACAGUAUGGGAGUGAGAAUGUUGGCAUGAGUAGCGAGAUGUGGGUGAGAAUCCCACAGGCCGUAAACCCAAGGUUUCCAGGGGAAGGUUCGUCCGCCCUGGGUUAGUCGGGACCUAAGCUGAGGCCGAAAGGCGUAGGUGAUGGACAACAGGUUGAUAUUCCUGUACUACCGAUAACCGUUUGAGAGAAGGGAUGACACAGUAGGAUAAGCUAAGCACACUGUUGGUUAUGUGUGCCCAAGCAUUGAGGCAGUCAAAGUAGGCAAAUCCGCUUUGAUAAUGCUGGGAUGUGAUGGGGAGCGAAAUUUAGUAGCGAAGUAGCUGAUUUCACACUGUCAAGAAAAGUCUCUAUCGAGGUUAAAGGUACCCGUACCGCAAACCGACACAGGUGGGUGAGGAGAGUAUCCUAAGGCCAGCGAGAGAACUGUUGUUAAGGAACUCGGCAAAAUGACCCCGUAACUUAGGGAUAAGGGGUGCCACCAUCAGGUGGCCGCAGAGAAUAGGCCCAAGCGACUGUUUACCAAAAACAUAGGUUUCUGCUAAGUCGCAAGACGAUGUAUAGGAGCUGACGCCUGCCCGGUGCUGGAAGGUUAAGGGGAUCUGUUAGAGCAAUCGAAGCAGUGAACUUAAGCCCCAGUAAACGGCGGCCGUAACUAUAACGGUCCUAAGGUAGCGAAAUUCCUUGUCGGGUAAGUUCCGACCCGCACGAAAGGCGUAACGAUUUGGGCACUGUCUCAACAACAGACUCGGUGAAAUUGUAAUUCCGGUGAAGAUGCCGGAUACCUGCGACAGGACGGAAAGACCCCAUGGAGCUUUACUGUAGCUUGACAUUGGGUUUUGGUACUACAUGUACAGGAUAGGUGGGAGGCUUUGAAACCAGGACGCCAGUUUUGGCGGAGCCAUCCUUGGGAUACCACCCUUGUAGUACUGGGACUCUAACCAUAGGCCAUGAAUCUGGUCUUGGGACACUGUCAGGUGGGCAGUUUGACUGGGGCGGUCGCCUCCCAAAAGGUAACGGAGGCGCUCAAAGGUUCUCUCAGUACGGUCGGAAAUCGUACGUAGAGUGUAAAGGCAAAAGAGAGCUUGAUUGCAAGACAUACAGGUCGAGCAAGGAUGAAAAUCGGACUUAGUGAUCCGGUGGUUCUGCGUGGAAGGGCCAUCGCUCAACGGAUAAAAGCUACCCUGGGGAUAACAGGCUUAUCUCCCCCAAGAGUCCACAUCGACGGGGAGGUUUGGCACCUCGAUGUCGGCUCAUCACAUCCUGGGGCUGUAGUAGGUCCCAAGGGUUGGGCUGUUCGCCCAUUAAAGUGGUACGCGAGCUGGGUUCAGAACGUCGUGAGACAGUUCGGUCCCUAUCCGUCGCAGGCGUAGGAAAUUUGAGAAGACCUGUCCUUAGUACGAGAGGACCGGGAUGGACGUACCUCUGGUGUACCAGUUGUUCUGCCAAGGGCAUGGCUGGGUAGCUAUGUACGGAAUGGAUAAGCGCUGAAAGCAUCUAAGCGCGAAGCCAACU
rnacentral:rRNA from 1 species